UACGUAGGGGGCGAGCGUUAUCCGGAAUUACUGGCGUAAGACGCACGCCAGGCGGUUCGCCAAGGUUUGGAGUGACAGUUGUCGGCUCAACCGACAAAGGACUUCAAAACUGGUAGAACUUGAGUCGACGAGAGGAACAUGGAACUCCAGGUGUAGUAGUGAAAUGCGUAGAUAUCUGGAAGAACACCAAUGGCGAAGGCAAUGUUCUGGCUCGUUUCUGACGCUCAGGUGCGAAAGCCAGGGGAGCGAACGGG
rnacentral:rRNA from 1 species